rnacentral:sRNA from 1 species
CCUUAAGCAGUGAAACACAGUACUCAGUUGAUACUCGAAGACCGGCCCCCCAAAAGGCUCUGUAUUCCACAGCCAUGGAAUCCAUCCAGGGAGAGGCUCGACGGGGUGGUACCAUGGAGACUGAUGACCAUAUGGGUGGCAUCCCUGCCCGGAAUAGUAAAGGGGAAAGGCUUCUGCUUUAUAUUGGCAUCAUUGACAUUCUACAGUCUUACAGGUUUGUUAAGAAGUUGGAGCACUCUUGGAAAGCCCUGGUACAUGACGGAGACACUGUCUCAGUGCAUCGCCCAGGCUUCUACGCUGAACGGUUCCAGCGCUUCAUGUGCAACACAGUAUUUAAGAAGAUUCCCUGUAAGUGGUUUCUACCAAUUGACUGCCUACUCCUGCCCAGUGGCUCCCUUACCCCAAGAGAACAGAGGGCAGGACACCUCUGGUAGGGAGCUGCCAAUGCCAGAGGCCUCUCCUUCCACCUACAUCCCAUGAGAGCCAUUUCUUGUCCUUUGUGUUAGUCUGUCAUAGUCAUUUCCAAGUUGCUGUUUCCCCCUUGGCUCUUCCUGCAUAUGUCAAUGAGGUGAGGGCCAUUUCUGGGGAAUUGGGAUUUGC